rnacentral:rRNA from 1 species
UUUUUUAGAAAUGAAUUUAAUUCAUGCUCUUUGUUUAAUGUUUACUUUUCUUUUAUUCUUUUUUAUUAGGCGCUAAGAUUAGGGGGGAUCAGCUCCCUAUUUUAUCUUUAUAAUUGUUGUCUGUUAUUUAGUUUUGUGGAUUUUAUAGUGAUUUUCAAUUUGAUUAUGUUAAAAUUUUAUUUGUUUUUUUGUUUAUUUACUUUUAAUUUAAUUUGUUUAUUGGAAUGUUUCCUUUAAUUUUCUUAUUGGAUAGUAAUUAUUGUGUAAUUAGUAAAUUUUCUUUUUAUACUGUUAUUUUUUGUGUGUUAAAUUCUUUUGAGGAAUUAGGCAAAUAUUUCAUGUCCGCCUGUUUAACAAAAACAUCUCUUCUUGUUAGUUUUUGAAGUAUGGCCUGCCCACUGACGUUUUGUUGAAGGGCCGCGGUAUUUUGACCGUGCAAAGGUAGCAUAAUCAUUAGUUCUUUAAUUGUGAUCUGGUAUGAAUGGCUUGACGAGGCAUGGGCUGUCUUAGUAAUUGGAUAUUUAAUUGAAUUUGGGGUUUGAGUUAAAAUUCUUAGAUGUUUUUAUGGGACGAGAAGACCCUAUAGAGUUUAACAUUUUAUUCGCUUUUUCUAUUUGUUUGUUUGGAUAUUAUUAAGUGAUUUAAGUGUUUUGUUGGGGUGAUGGGAGGAAUUUAUUUAACUCCUCUGUUUAUUUGUUUACUUAUUUGUAGUUUUUGAUCC